rnacentral:sRNA from 1 species
UUUCUAAUUUUUUUUGAUUUUUUUGUUUUCUUUUU